AGGAGUUUGAUCAUGGCUCAGAAUCAACGCUGGCGGCGUGCCUUACACAUGCAAGUCGAACGCGAAAGCGGACUUCGGUCCGCAAGUAGAGUGGCAGACGGGUGAGUAUCGCGUGGGCGACCUACCUUCGAGUGGGGGAUAACCUUCCGAGAGGGGGGCUAAUACCGCAUAACAUCCCGCUUUUAGACAAGCGGUGAUCAAAGCCGGGGAUCGCAAGACCUGGCGCUAGUUGAGGGGCCCGCGUCCGAUUAGCUUGUUGGUGAGGUAACGGCUCACCAAGGCUCCGAUCGGUAGCCGGCCUGAGAGGGCGGACGGCCACACUGGGACUGAGACACGGCCCAGACUUCUACGGGAGGCAGCAGUAGGGAAUUGUUCGCAAUGGGCGAAAGCCUGACGACGCAACGCCGCGUGGAGGACGAAGAUCUUCGGGUCGUAAACUCCUGUCGGGCGGGAAGAACAGUGUGCGGGUUAAUACCCCGUGCACCUGACGGUACCGCUAAAGGAAGCCCCGGCUAACUCCGUGCCAGCAGCCGCGGUAAUACGGGGGGGGCAAGCGUUGUUCGGAUUUACUGGGCGUAAAGGGCUCGUAGGCGGCCAUUUAAGUCGGUUGUGAAAUCCCUCGGCUCAACCGGGGAACUGCGACCGAUACUGAAUGGCUUGAAGCCGGGAGAGGGAUGCGGAAUUCCAGGUGUAGCGGUGAAAUGCGUAGAUAUCUGGAGGAACACCCGUGGCGAAGGCGGCAUCCUGGACCGGUCUUGACGCUGAGGAGCGAAAGCUAAGGUAGCAAACGGGAUUAGAUAC
rnacentral:rRNA from 1 species